rnacentral:rRNA from 1 species
AAUGGGCGAAAGCCUGACGGAGCAACGCCGCGUGAGGGAUGAAGGCCUCUGGGCUGUAAACCUCUUUUAUCAAGGAAGAAGAUCUGACGGUACUUGAUGAAUAAGCCACGGCUAAUUCCGUGCCAGCAGCCGCGGUAAUACGGGAGUGGCAAGCGUUAUCCGGAAUUAUUGGGCGUAAAGCGUCCGCAGGCGGCCCUUCAAGUCUGCAGUUAAAAAGUGGAGCUUAACUCCAUCAUGGCAGUGGAAACUGUUGGGCUUGAGUGUGGUAGGGGCAGAGGGAAUUCCCGGUGUAGCGGUGAAAUGCGUAGAUAUCGGGAAGAACACCAGUGGCGAAGGCGCUCUGCUGGGCCAUCACUGACGCUCAUGGACGAAAGCCAGGGGAGCGAAAGGGAUU